rnacentral:rRNA from 1 species
AUGAACGCUGGCGGCGUGCCUAAUACAUGCAAGCCGAGCGAACAGACGAGGAGCUUGCUCCUCUGACGUUAGCGGCGGACGGGUGAGUAACACGUGGAUAACCUACCUAUAAGACUGGGAUAACUUCGGGAAACCGGAGCUAAUACCGGAUAAUAUAUUGAACCGCAUGGUUCAAUAGUGAAAGACGGUUUUGCUGUCACUUAUAGAUGGAUCCGCGCCGCAUUAGCUAGUUGGUAAGGUGACGGCUUACCAAGGCAACGAUGCGUAGCCGACCUGAGAGGGUGAUCGGCCACACUGGAACUGAGACACGGUCCAGACUCCUACGGGAGGCAGCAGUAGGGAAUCUUCCGCAAUGGGCGAAAGCCUGACGGAGCAACGCCGCGUGAGUGAUGAAGGUCUUCGGAUCGUAAAACUCUGUUAUUAGGGAAGAACAAAUGUGUAAGUAACUAUGCACGUCUUGACGGUACCUAAUCAGAAAGCCACGGCUAACUACGUG